rnacentral:rRNA from 1 species
CUGAAUUGUAGUCUGAAUAUGAGUGAUAGAUCGAUAGUGAACAAGUACCAUGAGGGAAAGAUGAAAAGGACUUUCAAAAGAGAGUCAAAGAGUGCUUGAAAUUAUCGAAAAGGAAGCAGAUGGGGGAUCGACUCGGGGCAUGGACCGACGCGGGUCAUGGCGGUUGCCCAAGCCCGGGCAUUCUAUGUGCCCUCAGAGACGUCAUCAUCGUGAUCAUAGAAUGCAGCACACGGUGUCUCGGUGUGCCUCAAGACCUACGUGCUCCCCAUUUGGCCCAUCUUGAAACAUGAACCAAGGAGUCUGACAUGCGUGCGAGUCAAUGGGCUAAGAAACCCGUAAAGCACAAGGAAGCUAAUUGGCAGGAUCCCUUGUGGGUGCACCACCGAUCGACCUUGAUCUUCUGAGAAGGGUUCGAGGGUGAGCAUGCCCGUCAAGACCCAAAAGAUGAUGAACUAUGCCUGAGUAGGGUGAAGCUAGAGGAAACUUUAGUGGAGGCCCACAGCGAUACUGAUGUGCAAAUCGUUCGUUUGACUUGGGUAUAGGGGUGAAAAACUAAUUGAAUCAUCUAGUAGCUGGUUCCCUCUGAAGUUUUCCUCAGGAUAGCUGAAGCCCCCGACGAGUUCUAUUGAGUAAAGCCAAUGAUUAGAGGCAUCGGAGGUGCAAUGCCCUCGACCUAUUCUCAAACUUUAAAUAGGUAGGAUGGUGCGACUGCUUCGUUGAGCCAUGCCACAGAAUCGAGAGCUCUAAGUGGGCCAUUUUUGGUAAGUAGAACUGGCGAUGCGGGAUGAAUCGAAAUCCAAGUUACGGUGCCCAACUACGCGCUAACCCAAAACCCACAAAGGGUGUUGGUCGAUUAAGACAGCAGGACAGUGGUCAUGGAAGUGGAAAUCCACUAAGGAAUGUGUAACAAGUCACUUGCUGAAUCAACCAGCCCUAAAAAUGGGUGGCGCUUAAGCUCACUACCUAUACCUGGUUAUCGGGGCAAGGGCUAGGCCCCAAUGAGUAAGAGGGUACGAUGGUCAUCGUAAAACCUGAGGCGCGAGCUCGGGCGGAAUGGCCAUCAAUGCAGAUCUUGGUGGUAGUAGCAAAUAAUCAAAUGAAAACUUUGAAGGCCAAAAAAAAGAAAGGUUCCAUGUGAACAGCACUUGCACAUGGGUUAGUCGAUCCUAAGAGGCAGGGAAAGCCCAUCCGACUGUGCGUCCCGCGUGAGCUUCUAAAGGGAAUCGGGUUAAAAUUCUUGAAUUGGGAUGCGACGGUUGACGGCAACAUUAGGGAGUCUGAAGAUAUCGAUGGGGGCCUCGAGAAGAGUUAUCUUUUUUGUUUAACGGCCUGCCCACCCUAGAAACGGCUUAGCCAGAGGUAGGGUCCAGCGGUCGGAAGAGCACCCACGUCGCGUGGUGUUCGGUGCACCCCUGACGGCCCUUGAAAAUCUAAAGGACCGAGUGCCAUCUAUGCUCGGUCAUACUCAUAACCGCAUCAGGUCUCCAAGGUGAACAGCCUUUGGUCGAUGGAAUAAUGUAGGUAAGGGAAGUCGGUAAAAUGGAUCUGUAACCUCAAGAAAAGGAUUGGCUCUGAGGGCUGGUCACAGGGGUCCCAGUCUCGAGCUCGUCGACUAUCGAUGCAUUGCUCGAGUUGCUCCCACAGUAAGAGUGGGUCACCGUGUGUCGAUCAGGCGACGGACUAGGAAAGGCACCUUCGGGGGCCUUCCCUGGGUGAUGAACAGUCAACUCAAAACUGGUAUGGACAAGGGAAAUCCGACUAUUUAAUUAAAAAAAAGCAUUGCGAUAGUCCCUGCGAAUGCUCACACAAUGUGAUUUCUGCCCAGUGCUUUGAAUGUCAAAGUGAAGAAAUUCAACCAAGCGUGGGUAAACGGCGGGAAUAACUAUAACUCUCUUAAGGUAGCCAAAUGCCUCGUCAUCUAAUUAGUGACGUGUAUGAAUGGAUUAAUGAGAUUCCCACUGUACCUAUCUACUAUCUAGCGAAACCACAGCCAAGGGAACAGGCUUGGCAGAAUCAACGGGGAAAAAAGGCCCUGUUAAGCUUGACUCUAGUCCGACUUUGUGAAAUGACUUGAGAGGUGUAGGGUAAGUGGGAGACCCCGGGCAAAAUUGAAAUACCACUACUUUUAACGUUAUUUUACUUACUUCAUGAAUUGGAGGUGGGGCACGACCCCUUCUUUUAGACCCAAGGCCAGCCUCACCUGGGUGGAAGAUAUUGUUAGGUGGGGAGUUUGGCUGGGACGGCACAUCUGUUAAAAGAUAACGCAGGUGUCCUAAGAUAAGCUCAACAAGAAUAGAAAUCUCAUGAUAGUGUGGCCUAUCGAUCCUUUAGACCUUCAGGAUUUGAAGCUAGAGGUGUCAAAAAAGUUACCACAAGGAUAAUUGGCUUGUGGCAACCAAGCGUUCAUAGUGACGUCGAUUUUCGAUCCUUCGAUGUAGGCUCUUCCUAUCAUUGUGAAGCAGAAUUCACCAAGUAUUGGAUUAUUCACCCACUAAUAGGGAACGUGAGCUGGGUUUAGACUGUCGUGAGAUAGGUUAGUUUUACGCUACUGAUGGCGAUGGCGUGAUAGUAAUUCAACCUAGUACGAGAGGAACCGUUGAUUCACACAAUUGGUCAUCGCGUUUGGUUGAAAAGCCAGUGGCACGAAGCUACCGUGCAUUGGAUUAUGACUGAACACCUCUAAGUUAGAAUCUGGGAUAGAAGCGAUGCACGAUCCCACCGCCCGAUUGCCGACCUGUAGUAGGGGCCCAUGGCCCCAAGGGCACAUGUUAUAGGUGCAGCCCCGCGACAGACGAGCUGUGCGAGCCUCCUUGGAGCUCAAUUCCUACCGAG